UUAAAUAAAUGAUGGAUAUUGAUGGUGAUAACUACACGGUUUGGUAGGAAGGAGAGUCGAAUGAGUUGCUUCUCACGAAGUUCAAAACUGCAUCUUCUGAGGCGGUGGCGACCAGGGUGGCGUCUCUGAGGACUCAAUAUGCCAGACUGAGGAAGUCCAAAUCAAACCGGAGCGAGAAGAAGCCCCUCACGAUGAGGCAGCGCUGGCUCCUGAGGGCCCUCGACUUCCUGAAGCCACACAUCGUUCAUCGGCGAAGCGAGAACACUCUGGGUUUGCCGUCCUCUGAA